AUCAACACACUCGAUACCUCUUUCAUCAUCAAGGAUUUUCAAGUUUGUUCAAUACUGCUCCAAAGUUGGUUAAAAUAUCGAUGGUUGCGAUAGUUUAUAAUCGUAUAUUGGUCGACGAGACAGAAUCUCCUGAAUUUGGUCACUAUAAGAUUCGAACCAGAAUGAAAAGUUUGAAAAUGGCUAAUACAACCGGAAGGAUUCUCCAAGUGCGGAGCUGAUAACUGGAAAGUUUGGAUCAAAGUUGAGCAUCCAACUCAUAUACAUUUGUAAUAAAUUAUUAAAUUUAGAAUUAAAUUUUUGAAUAGACUGGGGAAUUAUUUAGAAAGUAAUCAACCAUUUUUUAUAACCAACACUAAUAUCACAAGACUUUGUAUCCAGGCACGCAAAUAUUCCAUUAAUAUGUAUACACGCAACUAUUCCAUUAAUAUGGCACGGCUAAGCGGUUAAAGAAAAUAAAACCAAUGGUAGAAACUUUAUCUAGAGCCCAAGUAUUCAACCAUUUUGAUGACAAAAAUCAAAUAAAUUAAAAAGGUUUCAAAAAAAAAAAUCAAAUAAAUUUAGAUAAAUGUAGUUAAUAUCAAAUCACAUAGAGUAAACGAAAACAAUAAACAUAAUUUAUAGCUAUAAAGUCGUUAUACUAAAAUUCACCUGCCCCAUUUAUUUUCUAAAUUCUCGUUUUACUUUGCUUAGCUCAUUUUUUAUAACAAGAAUAUAUACCAAAUGAAUCUUUGUUUAUCGAAUGUAAGGCUUGAUAGUUGAUAGUUUAUACAUUACUGGGGACACCAAAUUGAUAGAUUUUUCCUUAAAAGUAAAACUUAAUAAUCUUGAAGAGCAAAUCGACAAUUUGUUUUGUGUAUAGCAUUAUGGAAAAAAAAAAUAAAAUAAACAGAUUAAAAUGAAACUAUAAGAGCACUUUUAUGGGUUAUACAAAUAAAUAUCUAAACUAAGAAUAAUAAUAUUUUAAGCAAGUACGAUUUUACAAUUAAAAUUUAAUGCUUUUCAAAAAUUUA